GCGUUCAUUUCAGCAGCACACACGCCAGAAUUAGAAAGAUACAGGGAAGACUAGCAUGGCCCCUGAGCACCCCUGAGCAAGGAUGACACCCACACUGGUGAAGCAUUCCAUAUUUUU
rnacentral:snRNA from 1 species